AAUUUUCAGGGGGAUCACCGUUCCGUCGCGGCAACGUCCACCUCGAUCCCAGUUCCGCCCCGACCAAAAUUUCCCUCUUUCUUAGAGUUCUAGGCGGGCCUCUUUCCAGAGAGGUUUCUUAGGUCCGUUUUGGACCUAUCGAAGGUAUUUUACAAAUCCGUGUAUUUUCUUACUAAAUCUCCACCACAGGCCUGAGAAAUAGACACUGUAUUCCUAUCUUACAAAUGCCACCUUCUCAGGGAGUGUUUACCUGAACAUCUUUUGCUGAAAUUGCAGCCCUUCCACUCCCUCGAUAUAUACACUCCCUACUCUUUCAUCCCCUCUUAACUUCUCCCCAUUUACCCUAUACAUUUAACCUACAUUUUGUUAUUUUGUGAUGUUGACUGGAGAAAAAAGAAAUCACAAGGUGAGAGUUGUGAGUUAAGUUUUAUUUGUGGCAAAAUGAGGACCUGCUCUGAAGAGGUGGGGGGGCAGGUUGCUAUAUAUAUGAUUUUAGUGAAGGGGGAUAGGUGCAGUCAAGCACACGUUUUGGCAGAAGGUUGCUGCCAGUCACGAGGAACAGAUGUCUCUGUCAGUGAUUUUAGUGCUUUCCUAGAUUUAAGAUGCAAGAAAUUGGGCUCAUAAAGCCUUCUCCUGAAAAAGAUCUAACUUCCUGAAGGCCUGUUCUGCCAGUUUUUCCCAGAGCACAGAGUGCCACAUUCCUGAUCUCUUCCCUGAACUCCUUUCAGGGUGUGUUGAAGGUCAGUGACUGCAGUGGCUAGUGACGUCAUCCUCGUAGAGGCAGAUGGCGAGAGACAAUUUUUAGUUGGCACUGGGUACCUGCUAUCAUCCUAGAAUGUAAGGUCCAUGAGGGCAGAGAUUUGUUCUUGCGCACUGUUGUUUCAUAGCCUGGAAGAGUAGCAUAUUAUGUUCCAUGAAUGUUGGCUGAAUAAAUGAGGAAACAGCUUAGUUAAGUGUUUGGCCCAAUGCUGCACAGAAUAAUACCUGGGUCACGGUAUUGUUGACCUAGGUAUUGUUCUGCGUAUUUUACCAUUCGCUGAGACGAUGAAACCAACACAGAAGAAAGGAGCUCUGAGAUGAUUGCAGAGAUGGAAAUGAAGUCUGAUGACAUUGAGCAUCUAGCCCCAGACACCUGGGCUAGACUUUGCAGUCACUUGACCCAACACAUGAAGGAGACAUGCUUAUGUCUACCUGGAGGCCUGUACAGAAUCAUUCAUCCUGCAUCAUUCUGAGUAACCACCAUGAGAAACGACACAGGACUCACCAAGAGAACAAAAGAACUAUGCAGGCAGUAUACAGCAUGAUCUGACCCUCAUAGCGUCGUCUUUUCUGUAUUGGCAGUUGGUCUCAAGAACCAGUGAAAAGGUCGCUGCCGUAGACUCUGGCCCUGGGUCCACAUCAAGCAAACCUCCCUGAGUGAUUCCUGAACAGCAUCACCAAUGACUGACAGUCACUCUGCGUCCUUCCAGCUCUCCACGAGGGCCUGGUGGAGGAGCUGCCCAGGGACAGGGCAGAGGAAGAGAGUCCAUUUAAUGCCAAGGUGGCCUCAGGGGUAACUGAAAAUGGUACGUACUCUGGAAUCAAUCAUUUGCUUGGGGAAAAAAUGCUGAUGAUAAGGAAGGUGGGCUUUGUUUGCUGGCUUUCAUCUGGAGAGCCACCCUGAUUCUGAAUUCCUGCUGGGAACAAGGGCUGAGGAUGUGAUGAAAGAAGCUGAUUUCCCAGGCAAAGAACCAUGGCCGUUUUUCAAGAAGCAGUUUCAUUGCCUUUAAGUGGUGACAGGUUGUGUGCAUAGCAGUGGGCUGUUGUCUGUGUGAUCUGGGUGGUGUGAUUCUGAGUGUGCAUGUGCACAUGUGUGUGUCUGUGUUUCCCUAGAUUGCCUCCAGCAAGGCAACGGCCAGUGUCAGCUUCUAAAUGAAAAAUCCCAUCGCUACUGUUUCAUGUGAUUAUAUCUGUUUCAAAAUGUAUCAAAUUGUACACUUAAAAUGUGUGCAGUUCUUGUAUGGCAGGAAUACCUCAAUAAGCUCAGGGGAAAAAUCCCAUCACCAGCCAGGCAAAUGUUCAUAGGGUUCCAAGUGGACAAAAGUGUGUUUCAGAAUCACUGUGAUUGAGUCAAUGACAACUUCUAUUAAUAAUUCUCACCUCCGUCGAGCCCUUUAUAGUGUCUUCAGGCAGUUUGAUUGGUGGUGAAUGAAAAGCAGCCAUCAUUGUCCUUAUUUCACAUAAGAGAAAACAGAGGCUGGAGAAGGUGGGUGAAUUAUGGGGGGUCGCACAGCCCAUGGGUGGGAACUGGGUGAGGCAGUCUGGAGCCUUUGAUCCAGAGCCUCUGCACUUUCUCCCACACGUCUGCUGCCUGGGAGAGACUGAAAUUCUCCUUUGGUUUGGCAUCAAUUAUGAUUUUAAUCCUUGUUCCUAAGCCUCUUUGUGUGGGAUGCUCGCUGGACCUGAGAUGCAGUAACCCCAGCCCUUUAUCCCUCAGAUACUUUAGUAUUAAAUGGAUAUUUCCCCCAAUGAUGCUUCAUUCCUGCUUCUUCCCUUCUUCCCCCAAACCUUUAGAUUACAGGCGGUCUCAGCAUUAAACCUCCCCCAUCUCGGCUAUGGUGCUGGGGCAGGGUUCCUUCCUUUUGCAGGAGCUCCGGGGGGAACCCACAUGUCACUCCCGGUUCUGAAGGAAUCUGAGAAGGGAGCCUCCAGGAAGAGAUUCAGCCCAUCUUUCACCAACUGAGAUUUCAUAUUUUGCUUCAGGAAAUGUUGCCAAGAGUAGCAAGCGCCAUUGUCAUGUGGAAAGUCAGAACCGUCACUAAUGCCAGGCCUAGUUUCUGUGUUCUGGGCAUGAAACACUGGACAGAGAUCUCCUUCAGGGACCGAGCGUCAGGAGCUCCCUUCCUGGGAGGAUCAAGGGGAGGUUACGCGUUGAGAGGUGGGGAAAGAGGAACUCAGCAGUGGGAUAGGAACUUCGCCACUCACGUCCCUGUCAAACCUGCCAGAGGAAAUAGGGUCUGGGUUUCUUCCGAAGCCUUAACAAGUCAAGGGAGUUGUUUCAAGUCAAUAUAAAAUGAGACAAAGUAGGGUUUGGGUUUCCUUUUGGAUCAUGAAUCUUGUGUGGAAUAGAUUGUAUUUUAAUAGAAUUUGAUAGUCCUGUAGGCAUCAGUAUUUUUCCCUACAAAACAAAAAGAUGAAACUGCUAGACUGAAAGAUGUCACUGGUCAGAUCAGCGGUGGAAAGGCUAGUAAACUACUCUGCAAGGAGCAAGCAGGGGACAGGUGGUCACGUCUUCCCCCUCUUUGGAUUCUAGAGCUGCACUGCCCAGUCUGGUAGCCACCAGCCAGAUGUACCUGUUCAUAUUUAAAUUAAUUAAAUUAAAUCAAAUUAAGCAUUUGUUCCUUCAUCACACUAGACACGUUUCAAGUGCCCAAGAGCCCUAUGUUCAUACAAAUGAACUUAUUUACAAAACAGAAACAGACUCGAAGACUUAGAGAAUGAACUUACCGUUAUGGAGGGAAGGGUGGGAUGGAGGGAUAGUUAGGGAAUUUGGGAUCAACAUGCACACGCUGCUAUAUUUAAAACGGAUAACCAGCAAGGACCUACCAUACAGCACAGGGAAAUCUGCUCAAUGUUACGUGGCAGGCUGGAUGGAAGGGGCGUCUGGGGGAGAAUGGAUACAUGUAUAUGUAUGGUUGAGUCACUUUGCUGUGCACCUGAAACUAUCACAACAUUGUUAAUCGGCUAUAUUCCACUAUAAAAUAAAAAGUUAAAAAAAAGUUUUUGAAAAGAGCUAUAGAGGGCUUCCCUGAUGGUGCAGUGGUUGACAGUCCGCCUGCUGAUGCAGGGGACACGGGUUCGUGCCCCGGUCCGGGAAGAUCCCACAUGCCGCGGAGCGGCUGGGCCCGUGAGCCAUGGCCACUGAGCCUGCGUGUCCGGAGCCUGUGCUCCGCAACGGGAGAGGCCACAACAGUGAGAAGCCCGCGUACCGCAAAAAAAAAAAAAAAAAAAUCAGCUUUUAUUCCCUAAUCAGAACUUUUCUUGGGGGGAAUUUCCUUUGCUUACCUGAGUUGGUCUAAUUAUCCUAUGUGUCUAGAAACAUGGGCCUAAUAUUCAUAGUAGGAGUUUUUAUAUUGUUCUGUGGUCCACUGAUUAAAGAUGUGUCCUGUCUUUAAUGUGUUAGAUUCAUGAAAGCAGACACCAUAGCUAUGUUUGCUCUUUAAUAUAUGUUAGUCUAGAUCAUAACAAAAGAUAGACAUCGCAUCUAUUCUGAAUCAAGGAAAAGUAAUUUUAUUUAUUGCAGAAUAAUAUUGAAAUUAUAAACUUUUUUUUCUUUACAAUUCCCUUUCUCAUUUCAUCUUGCUGACUAAAUUCCAGGUUUUCAUUUUCCUAGUGUUACAACAAAUGAAUGGGUAAUGUUAGGAGUCCUGAGACAGUGGGUUAUCUUGGCCAACGUCAAGACAGAGCAAGAGGCAUCUUUCCCAGCCAGUCAGAGAUUUCCUUGGGCAUGAGUAGGGAUGCCUUUGGACCUCGAUGGCAAAUUAGAACUAGAACUUGCUCAGAGGAGAAGGGAAACUGGAGAAGAAUGGCUUUCUGGACUGCCAGCAUCUCCAGCUAGCCCUAAUUAUCAGAGUCUGGAGCAAAACUGCUUAUUCUAACAAGACUGUGGGUGGAGGCACAGGAAGCUUCAGAAGUGCCCCUGUUGUCUGGAACAGUGCCACUCACUUUGUUAGGCUCUCUGAUGAUUGGCUCAGUGGAAGAUGCUGGGACCUGUCUGAUAGUCAGACUGUGGGUUGUCAAGGACAAAAUGUCUGGGACCGGUUUUGCUAUCCCCAAUACAAGUUUGCAUGGAGCAAAGAGUAAACUCCCUUAGAAAAUCAACAAUUCAUAUUUCUCACAACUGAUAUUGUGGACUGGGAUAUUUACCAAACAUACAUUCAUCCAUCACAGUGGUUGUCCACACCCAGUGUGGGUUAGAAUCACCUGGGGGCUGAGAAACACUGCAGAUUUAGACAGUGGCGGUUUUGCUACUCUUCACGUGUGGUCAGGAACCAGAGGUAUCAUCCUGGGCUCAUGUCAGAAUGCAGAUUCUCAGGCUAGUCCAGCCCUAUAGAAACAGAAUCUGCAUUUUAAGAAGACCCCAGGUAAUUAAAUGCACAUUCAAGUUUGAGAAGCCAUAGUUAAAGCAGUGCUUCUCAAUAGAAAUAGAACAUGAGUCACAUGUGUAAUUUUAAAGAUUCUUGUAAACUUAUACAAAAACGACUUCAAUAAAAUAUGUGUUGAACUCAGUAUAGCCAAAAUAUUAUCAUUUCUCUAUGGCACUACCCCUGUUUUGAGUGCUCAGUGGCCACCAGUGCCUACCCUAUUGAACAACACAGAUCAAGGCAUGACCUAAAUACUAUAUCCUCUUAAAAAUCUCCAGGUGGUUCUAAUUCAUACUCAGUGAGAAACACCAUUGUUUAGGGGAUAAAAAUUUAGGCGCCAGAAUUCAAAUAAUGCCCAUAUUUAAUGGAGACCUUAGCAGAGUUGCUUUUUCCUGGGUCCUCCAUGGGGAGGAGUAGUUAGGACAGAUGCCUCACCUUGGAGCUUUAGCAUCCUUGGGUUAAACUGUGGAACAUUACUCAGGUGGGGCUCUCGCCAGGUUCCUCAACUGACCAUUUGUCUUGGUCUCAUUCUUCUCAGUGAGCACAGAGCAGAACGGGCACAAUGAACACUUCCAAUGGGGCUUCCUCUGUGUUGAAUUGAUGCACCAGAGGCAGCAGACAUAUCUGCGUUUUAGGUACGUAGGUUUUUCAAGAUAACCUAGGCAGAUGAGACAUCUACUUGCUUCUUUAAAAUGUUUAGCCAUAGUCACUUUCUGUGGAAAAAUGAGCAAGUUGUUAGUUUCCAUGAGUUGAAUGACCAUUAGUGCUUGGGGCUCUAUCCUUUUUACUUGUAUAGAUACAUCAGGUUCCUAAUAUGUGCCAUCCAUUGUGCUAGGUAAUGACAUAAAAUGUAAAUAUAAAUAUAAAUAUAACUGACCUUUGCCCCAGAACUUCUGGUAUUUGGAGUGCUAGUUAGAAUGAAAGACUCAAUCCAGGGACUUCCCUGGUGGCACAGUAGUGAAGAAUCCACCUGCCAAUGAAGGGGACGCGGGUUGGAGCCCUGGUCAGGGAAGGUCCCACAUGCCCCGGAGCAACUAAGCCCAUGCGCCACAACUACUGAGCCUGCGCUCUAGAUCCUGCGAGUCACCUCUACUGAGCCAGCAUGCCACAACUAUAGAAGCCUGCGUGCCUAGAGCCCGUGCUCCGCAAUGAGAGAAGCCACGGCAGUGAGAGGCCCGCGCACUACAACCAAGAGUAGCCCCCGCUCUCUGCAAGAAAGAAAGCCCACGUGCAGCAACGAAGACCCAACGCAGCCAAAAAUAAAUAAAUGAAUUUAUUUUUUAAAAAAAGUUAAGUGCAUUUAUGGAGAGAUGCAUUACAUUAAAGAAAAAAAAAAGGAAAGGAAAGAAAGACUCAAUCCGUCAUUUAGCUUUGACUUGAGUUAGUGAAUGGACUAGACAUGGGUUGUCCAGUACUGUAGCCGCCAACCACAGGUUGAAAUUCGGCUUAUUUGAACUGAGAUGUGCUCUGAGUGUAAAAAUGCACAAUGGAUUCUGAAGACGGAAUAAGAAAAAGCAAAUUUCAACUAUCUCAUUGAGAUCUUUCAAACAAUGUGUCGUCAGUGUAAAUACCUGUUGAAGUGAUAACAUUUUGCUGACUAAAAUUAUUUUGACUUGUU